rnacentral:rRNA from 1 species
AUCUUGACCUCAGAUCAGGCAAGGCUACCCGCUGAAUUUAAGCAUAUUAAUAAGCGGAGGAAAAGAAACUAACAAGGAUUCCCCCAGUAACGGCGAGUGAAGCGGGAAUAGCUCAAAUUUGAAAUCUCCGACGCUUGCGUCGGCGAGUUGUAGUUGCGAGAAGCACUUUCUAGGCGGAUCGGUCGUGCCUAAGUUGCUUGGAACAGUACGUCACAGAGGGUGACAACCCCGUCUGUGGCGCGGCCGGCCGCUCACGAUGUGCUUUCGAA